AGGUGGCGUAUCGCGGCAGAAUGCUUCUCUCUCAUUGGUUAGAUUUUCAGAGAAGAAAGAAGGACAAAAUGGCGAAGAAAACACCAAGAAUUUGCUCAAGAAAAACAACAGAGAUGAGAAGAUCUUUUGAAUCUACACUGAAGAAAGGCACCCCAAACGGCAGAUUAGAUACAGAUAUCCACUGAACAAACCAUCUGAAAACUAAGGCUAAUAGGAGAGGAUGAAGAAUACUUCUGUUAAAAGGUUGAAGUAACUGACGAGCAGGUCAAUCCAACUUGAACUUGAAGUGCAAGUGGGUCUUCAAAAAUGUGGACCACUCAAGGACUUUUCUGUUGGUUGAUGAUGGACUACAAACUGAAUAUUUAACAAAGAAAUCAACUUUGGUGCUUAUUGGCUACUAAUGAUGUGAACUUGUGCAUUUAUUAUACCAAGUACUUUUACAUUUCCUUGAUGAUACUAGACUUGCGUAUACCGAAUUCAGGUUUAGUUGAUUGAUUGCAGUUCUAAGUUCCUCUCACAACAUU